rnacentral:lncRNA from 1 species
AUGUGUACUCAUUUUGUUCCCAGGUUAAGAAACACAACACUCUACAUUUCAUCAGUGAGAACAUAUGAUGAAGGACAUUACACAUGCACAGCCUCCAACACACUGGGUCACGAUCAGAAAACCAUGACUCUUCGGGUUGCUGUGAAACCAGUCAUUGUUUCCUUCGUUGCAUCGCUCACUGUCUCAGAGGGAUCACCUGUUAGUCUCCCUUGUCGAGCUGUUGGAGAUUUUCCUGUCAAGUACACUUGGAUUAGAACUGCAUCGAUGCAAAAUUCACCAAAACUGUCUGGUUCAAACUCUCUGGUCUCACUACCACAACAGAUACACAUUGAUGAUAAUGGGACAUUAGUCAUCUCCAACAUCCACCGGUCUGAUGCAGGAGAGUAUCACUGCACUGCAGAAAACAGAGUCGGUCAGGAUGUGAGAAGUGUCAUCAUAACUGUAACUGCUGACUCUGAUGUCCCACCUGAUAAGGAAGCACUGAGUAAAACGGUUAUGCCCCCUGUUUCAGAGAGUGAGCAAGAGCUAGUUACUAUUUCCAUUCCUUAUGGUUCAAAGCUUCUGAGUAAUACAGAGAUAAAUGAAUCCCUUCAACAAACAACUGAAAAUUACACAAAGAUAUCCUUGUUAAAUGCUUUUGUGGAGGACUCACCAACAUAUCUGAAUCUUGAAUCUACCCAAGACACUACAGAGUUCAUUUCACUUAAGCCAAGUGGCAUUAGCAUAGGAAUUAAUGAGAAAAACAAACAACCCAUUCAAACACAAAAACCAACCCCUGUGCCUGUCAAACCUGCACCAUUUCCCCCACUCAAAGAGACUUUUUUAAAGGACGCACGUCAACAUAUCCAAAUAACAGAGCAGGUCACAAAACCUCCAGUAACGAAUCCAAACACAAACACCCCUUUCCCAGCAGACUUAUAUUCCCAUACCCAGCUUAAAAAAAUUCAGAGUGUUUCCCUGAAUAGUGCCCAGUCCUUUAGUGGACAAGCUCAGACUACAGGCUUAACUUUAGUGGAUGUAGAGAAUUUCACUGCCUCAGCUCCUGUGGAACAACAUCAAAAUCAGAGUCAAAUCAUCAAGCAGACUGGAAGUACCAAGACAUCAGUGACAAAUGACACAGAACUUGUUGAAUCACUCAAGAAAAACACCUCACAGGCCCCUAUGAGGACCACUGACAAUAAUAACAGAGAAAAGGAGAAAUCCCAAACUUGGUUGCCUGUGAUUGAGAAGCAUGAUAUUCCCAUUGUGGUUGGAGUUGGUGUUUCAUUGGCAUUCAUUUUCAUUGCCAUGGCCUUUUACUCUCUGGUUCAGAAAAAUGAUCCUGCAGCUGUACCUACAGGGAGGGCAGCUCUGAGGGGAAUAUGUGGCAGGCAUGGGGAACAUCUUGCAAUGGAAAGGACAUAUGAUAACAAGGCAUUUGAAGAUGAUAAUUUGAUGGCUGUUAUUGAGCAAAGCCCCAACACAUUGGAGACAAGAGCGCUCCCAACAGAAGCCAGCCCAUCCAUCCUGAUGAUGGAGCCACCGUCCGAUGAUUUGCAAGAGUGUGUCCAGUCCACCCAGGGCCUGCCAGUUAUUGUGGAGACUCACCCAGAGCCUAGAGAAGAGGAUCAGUUGGAGACUAUAUUUGAGGAGGGGAAGGUCACUCCCUCACCACAUUCUGACAUUCAGCUGCAGUGCAUGGAGGACUGGAGGAGCAGAGAAUUUGAACCAGGUCAGGACGCCCCCUCACCUCCUCCAGCCAAUCCACCACCUGCCCAGGAGGAAGGCCUGCGCUCUUCCCUGACUCUCCAGACCAGCGAUCCCUCCUCAACUCCUGUGCGCCACAGCAUCAAUAUUUCCCAUGGUUUCUCUCCCCUCCUGCUGUCCCAUUGUGUGUCCCUGGGCAUGACCUCUGUGGCUGUGGAUGUGCACUUCUACCCAUCAGGUCCCUCGGCAGCCAGUCGUCCUCCAUGCCCUGCCUAUGGACCUCCAGGCCAGCAGGUGAACACCAGGCUGGAGCAUGAACUGACUACACCCUCUGCUAGCCACAGUAAAUAACAAGAGUGUGACAAACAUUGAAGUCAUGAGAAAGCUCUGUUAAAUCGCUCACUACAUAGGGCGACAGGCAGUUAGGAUAAAGGUGGUGCUGAUGCUUUAUUCUCCCUCUAAUUUUAUUUUUUUUCCUAUGAUGUCGGUUUAAUGAAAGGCAACAUGAGCUUUCAUGGAGCCAUGCGUUAGAAUGGCUGCAUGUGAAUGAACUACUUUCACAGCAUGUGCUAAAUUUGAUCAGAAAUGACUUUGCAUGCUACAACUGCCAUACUGUCAGACAGAAGAAACAAAACUAUUUAAAUGAAUAUAAUCAUAUAUAACAGUCUUUAACUGUAAAUUAUAUGGCAUUUCAUAUUUCUGAAACCCAUAGAGUUCACAUUAUUUUACAGUAAAAUGACAUAUAAAGCAAUGUUAAAUCAUUUACAGUUUUUCGCCAUAAAUGGUAAGGUAUCUUACAGAUAAACCAUUAACAGUUUUUUAGCAUAGCACUUUUACAAACAUUUUUUAUGGUGUGGCAUUAGGAAUGGUCGAUAUAACUAAAAAUGUUUAAAUAUUUUUCAGUCUUUUAAAAAAAAUUGAUAAUUGUAUUUGAUAUCAAUAUUUAUGAGUUAGCUUUAAAAAGUGUAUUUUCUUAUUAUUAUUGAUAUGAUUGAUUGAUGAUAUAUAUAUUGUUUUUUAAAUCAAAGGAAACACUAUUUUUUCCAAACAGCUAUUGUUACCAAGUUUAUUAAAAAAAUUAAUCUAGUUUGAAUAAUGAAGGCAUUUUCAUUAAAUGAACAUUUCAUUAAAUGAACAUAGAGUAUUUAAUCAUUUCUAUCCAUUAUUUAAUAUUUAAUCAUUUAUAUCCACCAAUAUAUAGUAACAGCAAUAUAGUAUUUAACUUCAUAUAUUUUUACUAAGACAUUUUAAUAUGUGAAAAAUAUCAUGCAUUCAUUUGCAUGUAUUGAUACCAACCUUGAAAUCUUAAAGAGCCCCAGCCUGAGAUUUUGUGGUCUGUAUAUAUAUAUAUAUAUAUAUUCAGACACAGGGAACAAUUGCAGGUAACAUUUAUCAUUAAUCAGGUUUAUAAAUACUGUCUUUCCUCUAAUGCCAAGGAAUUUAUAAUACUGCAAGUAUUUAAGAGUAAUUAAAUGUAUAUAUUAAUGUAUUUCUGAAAUAAGAAGUGACUUCUACAAACCUAGCCAUAGCAUUAUGUAAAAUAUAGUUGAAAAAGGUCUCCACAGUAAUGGAGAGUAAAUGCAAAGGGAUAAUAGAACUUAAAGUUGUAAAAAGGUUUUAUUUGUGCAACAUCUCGACUGUUACUUCCGCUCGUGCCAAAGGUUAAACCACCUUACCAUUAGUUAUUUCUGUGACUUGUAUUGUUGAAAAUUAAUCUUAAGAUAUUGGGAGUAUUGUACUUCAUGGGCAACAAACUGUUGUAUUUUGCUUUUACAUAGAAGUAAAAGUGACCAAUUAAUACAAUUAAUAAAACUAAGUCUCCUGUUGACUUUUUGAAGUCAUGUUAUAAGAAGCUAAAACACAAGUAUCAUACUAUUUACAUAAUUUUAUUCAGAACAGAUCAAAGCGUGAUAGAUUAGUUACUUCAUGUGAAGUGUUAUUGUCUUAGUUAAUGGCCACAAAUUAACGAUUAUUAAGAUUGCCGGAAAUGGUAAAGAGCCAUUUAAUUGUACAAUUUAAACAUUUUGUUGUAAAAUAGAUGAUUUGCCAUUUUAUUUAUUUAAACCUCUUAUGUAAAGGAUCAGACAUACAGGUACAUUACUUUUUGACAAACUAAUUCACAUUGUAAAAAAAUCUCAUAGUAAUGGUGCUACAAAUUGAUAUAUUUUGCUUGGAAAAACAUGAAUAUUAUAAGGUUACAUUCAUUCAAAUCAAAGAUCAUAAAUGAAUACAAAAGUGAACACUCUGUAACAAAGAAAAAAUAACUGUCCAUCACAGAUCCACAGUUCAGGAAAUUGCAUAUUUCAAGUUGAACAGUGCAUUAGAAUUUAGAAAUCUGCAUAACAAAACAGAUAUGAGGCAGCAGAUACAAUUAAUUUUCAUCAUCAUAAAUGGACGGAAUACUAGUUUUUUUUUUUUUAUUAUGAAUUAAAGCUAAAUGUUUAUUUGGCCUGUGAUGGACUGGUCAUCUGUCCAGGGUCUUUCCAUGGGAUACGACCCUACAUAGAACAAGCGGUUUGGAAAAUGGAUAGAUGGUUGUUUGCCAAUAUGAGUGCCAGUAAACAAAGUGCAUUAGAAUUUAGAAAUACUGCAUAACAAAACAAGAUAUGAGGCAGCAGAUACAAUUAAUUUUUCUAUCAUCAUAAAAUGGACGGAAUACAAGUUAUUUUUUUUUUUUUUUUUUUAUUAUGAAUUAAAGCUAAAUGUUUAUUUGGCCUGUGAUGGACUGGUCAUCUGUCCAGGGUCUUUCCAUGGGAUACGACCCUACAUAGAACAAGCGGUUUGGAAAAUGGAUAGAUGGUUGUUUGCCAAUAUGAGUGCCAGUAAACAAAGUAAAAAAAAUGUUUCUAUAUGACUGGAUCAUCCCGAUGAUAUAAGGUUACAACCAAUCUUUAAAGCUUUGAUCAAAUAGGUAGCAAGAAAUCACCAACCUUUUAGUCAAUUCUCUAAUUGAUCCUUUGUUAAGUUCCACCCCCUUUGAGAUUACCAUAAACAGCAUGACUUUCAUAGUUGAAAAA